rnacentral:rRNA from 1 species
UACGUAGGGGGGCAACGUUGUCCGGAUUUAUUGGGCGUAAAGAGCGUGUAGGCGGUUUGGUAGGUCCGCUGUGAAAACUCGAGGCUCAACCUCGAGACGCCGGUGGAAACCAUCAAGACUAGAGUCCGGAAGAGGAGAGUGGGAAUUCCUGGUGUAGCGGUGGAAAUGACGCAGAUAUCAGGAAGAACACCCGUGGCUAAGGCGGCUCUCUAGUACGGUACUGACGCUGAGACGCGAAAGCGUGGGAGCGAACAGG